UGGGGGCAGGGCGCCCGAGCGUGGGGCACCACCCCAUGACGCUUGUGCACUGCGCGGGAAAGCAGAAUGUCGAGGCCUCUGCGGGGACGGUUGUUGACCUGAGCCUCCUACCUGGGGCGGGUAUUUUGGGAAACUGCGGACUGAUUGUCCUAUUUUGACCCGCUGGCAUUCGGGAAGGAGGCCGGAGCGGCUGGGUAUGGCGGCCUUUGCGGAGACGUGGGUGCUGGUGGAGCUGGUCCAGGCGCUUUACGAGGUUAUUUUCCUCUACAGUUCCUGUGGACUGGACCUGCCCCCUGGCUGCAGCUACCGUGUGAUGAUUACAAUGAACUCCCAUUCAGCUACUGCCUGCCUGUGGAAUGGGCAAUGUAAUGUGACACUAAUUAAAAAUACCCUGCUGCAUUCCUCAAGGCCCAGGCAGACUUCACCAAGAUGGCUUUAUUAAGAGAUUUCAAAGUACAGAUUUCUGAAUAGCCUCACGGCAAGCCUGAAUUUCAGAGUUUAAUGAAAACAGGAAACUGUUUUGCCUUAAGCAGAUCCAAGGAAUUCAAAUCCACCCACAAUCAACAUUUUGGGUACUGCACAGCAUGCUGCAGGGCCGCCAGCAGAGGAGCCUCCUAACACCUUAAAGAAACACUUUGACCACAAGGCCUGUCAAUCUUGCUACAGGAGGACCUACUUGGAGUUCAACUCCUACUGGUAAAACUGACUAUUGUUUGAGCAGACACCGUGAAGGUGCCCUAUAGAAAUUAGAUACAAAAAUGCCAAUUAGAAAGCAGGCUUUUAUAUGGAGUGAAAUGACCACACUUUCUGCUGUGGCAAAUCUAAGCAGACAUGGUGAGGUGGAUAGUAUGAGGGGGAUACUUCGAUGUCGUUUCACGCAGAAGGUUUCAGAUGGUUGGCAAAGGAAUGUUUACAAUUUCAAAUGACUCACGUAUAAAAACCUAUAAAGAUGGAAAACUUGCAUUCUCCUUAUGAUACAAAAUAUUUUCAGCUAACUCAAAUGUCUAGCCAGGCUGUAUGCAGGAUCUGUGUAGUUUAUACUGAACAUGUCCACCCCGGUGACAGAAAUAAAAAACUGCUGAUCACAUACAGGAUAACUUUCUAAGAAUACUAAAUUGAGAUGCUACAGAGCAACCUAGCAUGCAUCUCCUCGUCUGAAAUUUAAAAGAAAUUACCCAGGGCAUAAGGGGAAAACAAAGAGGGGGUGAGAAGCUAAAGGGGGAAGUUGAAAUGGUAAAAUAUGUGGCAGCACCUAAGAUUUAGGAAUACUUGUGAUUCAGCAAAAUGAGAUGGUCUUUGGAGUCAGACUAAUAGCUGGAGCUUUUCAAACCAGCUCUUUGAAUGCCAGAGCAAGACACCAAAUCCUUCUAAACCUGGAAUUUCACAUUUUUAUAAUGAACAUAAUUAUGCCUCUUUUCUGGGUAGUCUGUGAAGAUUAUUUAAGAUUAAUGGAACAUGACCACUGUCUAUAAUACACUACAAGUUCGGUAAAUUAUUCACAUUGUUGUUGAUUAAAAUAAGCCCAAAUCCUAUUAAGAACUUCUUCAAAGACUGACAGUCAUAGGUGCAACAUGCUUUCUGGUCACCAUGUGUCUUUCCACCCCAUAUAUUAGACUCUUGUUUAUCUCUAAAGGAUAGUUCAACAUAUGGUUCCCAGGAAGGGCUAUCAAUAAAUGCUGGCGUUUUGGCCCCCUUGUGUUCCUAUAGGUUUUUUUUGCGGCAUAAUAGAAUGAGGCUUUGCCAGAAUUAUUUCCACAGUAUCAUUAAUACAGUGCACCUUUAGGGGUUCAAGGGUUUUGUGCCAAUCCACUUAUUCUCUCUAAUGCCCAAUGUAAAUUUAUGAAUUGUUAAUAUUCUUCAAUAAACAUCUAAGCAUAAUUACAAUUAAAUACAGAUUCACAAUUUUGUUAGCACUACUAUUUAUUUUGUUUCCUAUGAUUUGUUCUUAUUAACUUGUUUCUAUCAACAAAUCUAACAGACAGUAAUCUGUCAAGUGCCUGUUAUGCAUAUGGUGCCUAGUUAUACUCGAGGCUUCCUUACACUCGGCUCAUCUUCCAAAAAGUGGCAGAGCUAUAGAAUGUUCUCAAAAGAAUGGGCAAAUACAUGUUAAAGUUCUACGUUCUUGAGCAAUUUUCACCCUUAAACAGAAAUUCAGCUAAUUAUACUAAUCCGAUAAAGAGUCGUUUUAGACAGUCCUAAAAUGUUCUUAUAAUUUAAGCUCUGGUUGAUGAAAUGUCAGAAGUAUUGCUCUAUUAAGUAAGCCAG